UCCCUGGUGGCUCAGACGGUAAAGCGUCUCCCUGCAAUGCGGAAGACCCGGGUUCGAUCCCUGGGUUGGGAA
rnacentral:tRNA from 1 species